UACGGGGGGGGCAAGCGUUGUUCGGAAUUACUGGGCGUAAAGGGCUCGUAGGCGGCCAACUAAGUCAAACGUGAAAUCCCUCGGCUUAACCGGGGAACUGCGCUUGAUACUGGAUGGCUUGAGAUUGGGAGAGGGAUGCGGAAUUCCAGGUGUAGCGGUGAAAUGCGCAGAUAUCAGGAGGAACACCGGUGGCGAAGGCGGAUCUCUGGGCCUUACCUGACGCUGAGGCGCGAAAGCUAGGGGAGCGAACAGG
rnacentral:rRNA from 1 species